UCCGUAGGGUGAACCUGCGGAAGGAUCAUUACCUAGAGUUGUAGGCUUUGCCUGCUAUCUCUUACCCAUGUCUUUUGAGUACCUUCGUUUCCUCGGCGGGUUCGCCCGCCGAUUGGACAAUUUAAACCAUUUGCAGUUGCAAUCAGCGUCUGAAAAAACUUAAUAGUUACAACUUUCAACAACGGAUCUCUUGGUUCUGGCAUCGAUGAAGAACGCAGCGAAAUGCGAUAAGUAGUGUGAAUUGCAGAAUUCAGUGAAUCAUCGAAUCUUUGAACGCACAUUGCGCCCCUUGGUAUUCCAUGGGGCAUGCCUGUUCGAGCGUCAUUUGUACCUUCAAGCUCUGCUUGGUGUUGGGUGUUUGUCUCGCCUCUGCGCGUAGACUCGCCUCAAAACAAUUGGCAGCCGGCGUAUUGAUUUCGGAGCGCAGUACAUCUCGCGCUUUGCACUCAUAACGACGACGUCCAAAAGUACAUUUUUACACUCUUGACCUCGGAUCAGGUAGGGAUACCCGCUGAACUUAAGCAUAUCAAUAAGCGGAGGA
rnacentral:misc_RNA from 1 species